rnacentral:rRNA from 1 species
GAUGAACGCUGGCGGCGUGCUUAACACAUGCCAGUCGAACGGUGAACACGGAGCUUGCUCUGUGGGAUCAGUGGCGAACGGGUGAGUAACACGUGAGCAACCUGCCCCUGACUCUGGGAUAAGCGCUGGAAACGGCGUCUAAUACUGGAUAUGUGACGUGACCGCAUGGUCUGCGUUUGGAAAGAUUUUUCGGUUGGGGAUGGGCUCGCGGCCUAUCAGCUUGUUGGUGAGGUAAUGGCUCACCAAGGCGUCGACGGGUAGCCGGCCUGAGAGGGUGACCGGCCACACUGGGACUGAGACACAGCCCAGACUCCUACGGGAGGCAGCAGUGGGGAAUAUUGCACAAUGGGCGCAAGCCUGAUGCAGCAACGCCGCGUGAGGGAUGACGGCCUUCGGGUUGUAAACCUCUUUUAGCAGGGAAGAAGCGAAAGUGACGGUACCUGCAGAAAAAGCGCAGGCUAACUACGUG